UCAAAUAAAGUAGGAAAUUGAGGGCAAACCCUAACACUUUUUGCAAGACCAUUUAAUUUGUGGAUGAGUGGAUCCUAUUGGUUAUCCACUUUGUAUUUGAAUUUGCAUCAUUUGUGACUCACAAAAAGAGAAUUUUUUCCUUCACAAAGUUCAACUUCAAGAGCUCUAAUUAAUGAAAAGUGCAGAUUUUCCUUCAUCCCACCAUACUUCAUCCUUAGUAUGAAUGGAGGAGUCCAUGACAUUUUGCACCCUUAAUGUGUGUUUUUUUUUUUUUUUUUUCAACUUGCACCCUAUCCUAUUUUUUUUAUUAUUAUGAUUUAAACUCCAAUCUCUUUAUUUCCUUGCAAAAUAAUAAAAACAUCCUUUUUAUAAAUUUAUCAUGAGGGCAAAAUAGGAAUACAAAUAAUAUAUAAUAAAAAAUAAAUUACGAAAACUUAAAAGAGAGCUCACCACAUACAUUUCUCUCUCUUUCCGUCUCUAAAAUAAAAUGGGUUCUUUGCAGCUUAAGACCAAUAGAAGCAAAAUACCAACAAAAUUUAAAAAGCAAAAAAUCAGCUAGAUCUACAGAUCACUCUAUCUUCUUCCUCUCCGCCUAUUCAUCAACUUGGAAUGGAUCUCCAGCUGAAUCUACAACCAUCGAAAAAACCAAUGUUUCCUCGGCCCAUCGAUUUCAAAUUAAUUUCUGUCGUUUCAUGACUGCGGUAGAAAUAGAAGCAUGUUUGUCUUUAGUUUAGUGAUUGGAUCUGACCUUUUGCUUGAAAUCGAUCAACAAGAAAAUAGGCAAAGCUAUAUCGGGUUCUCUUCUGUUUCCUCGGCCCAUCGUUUUCUGUCGUUUAAUACUCUCUGCAUAUGUAUUAGUAAUGGAAAAUAGGCAAAGUUACAUCGUGUUCUCUUCUGUUUCAGCUGGCUUCUUUAAUGCUUGAUUUUUAGCUCAAAUGAAGCAAUCAGUUUACAUUCGCCGAAAAAAGCAAUAAACGAUGCAAUAAUUAACAACUACAACAUUUCUCGUCUUAUCGAACAGGUUAUUUCUUAUCAACACAUUCACGUUUUUUAUCUCCUCCUUUUGCUUUCUUUAGUGUGUAGUUUAGAUGGGUUUUUUUUGGGUAAUAUGUUUGAGGUUCAUGUAUGUGUUCCAUAAUUUUCUUUCUGAAAGAUUGAUGUGGUUCUUCUCUCUUUUGGGAUAAAACAAGUAGAUGGGUGCAAUCGAACUAUAUUUCUCUGUGUAAUUUUAACUGAAUGCAUACUCUAAAUCCUUUAUUCAGCUGCUGAAUUUUAGUUUAGUAGGAGUUGGUAGUUGAUGGUCAGUAAACAAGCUAAAACUGGCUCUGAUUAUAGAAUUGUUGUGUCUUCUUAAGAAAUGUGGCAGCUCUAUGCUUCUUUGGGACUGAUUCUGGUGCAUAGCAUUGAGUUGUAUCUAAGAGACAAAUGUGCUCAUAGGCCAACUGAAACUGGUAAACAACAUUAAUAUAAUAAUUAAAAUGCUUCUACUAGAUCAUACAAUUUAUUUGGUAAAGCUAGAAUUACGCUUGUAUCUAGAAAAGCAGCUCUUUUACCAACUUACUCUUUAGGAUUUGUUGAAGCCAAAAAGAAUUUAGAGAAGUUAUACAUGUCUAUAUUCAUUGAGUUCGAGCAAUAGAAUAUCAUAUAAAGUAUUUCAUAAAUUAGUAGUAUUUAAAUUAUAAAGGAAAAAUGACAAACUUGUAACAAUGAGACCUCCAAAUGUUUAGCAACUAUUGAUAGAGAAAUAUCUCUUAAAAUAAAAAAAUAGCUUUGAAAAUAAAAUUUAUUGUUGUUGCAGUUCUUCAUUUGUUAAUUGCUUCUAUUUUCUUCCUUGUCAAAGCUCUUAUUGUUGGACUUCAUUGAAGCACUUGUAUUUUGAAGGCUUUGUAAGCUAAUACAAUUUUUUCCAUUCCAAUUGUACUUCUCAGCAUUUAUCACAAUACUGCCAACUUGAGCUUGUGCAGGCAUCUGAGAUGAACCGUCCUCCGCUGGCCUUCUUGGCUGUGAAUUAAAAAAAAAAAAAAAACUGUAACUGUCUUUCAAAGAAUUAAAUCACUAAUAUCUAAGGUUCCAUGCUUACAUUGAGUUUAGAAGGUUCAUUUAUAUGCCCAAUUCAAUUGGUGGACUCAAAAUGGAUUUGCUUACUUAGGUGGGAUUGACUUGUAGCAUUUUGUGACCAACCUCGAGUUGUUGGAAUAGCUUGAGGUGGAGCUGCUGAAUUCAGAGAAUCACUAUUCUUCUUGCAAGUUGUUUUAUUGUGACCAAUUUGCAAGCACCUGCUGCACCUCCCUAACCUCCCUUUCUUACUUAAUUUAGUAACAUUUGUGGCUGCUGCAUUCAAGUCAUUUGAUGCAGAUUGUUUUCUCUUUUUCUCUCUUCUCUGUUUUUCAUCUCAACAGCUUUUCUCUUGGAGGCUUCAAUUUCAUCAGGUUCUUUUCUUCUAUUUUUGUUCAACUUACCUUUCUUUGGCUCAUAAGUAGGAGGUUGAAUGGGAAGUAGAUCAAUAGUUUCCCACAUACCAGGUCCGUCCAUAGGAGCAAUGACUGGCUCAUAAAUCCUCAUUUGAGUAGCCUUCUUGUAACAAUCAUUUAUGAAAUUUUCUGGAUUCUCUCGUAUACUGAAUAUGCAGCUUAUUGCAUGUGCGCAUGGGAUUCCUGUAAGGUCCCAUUCCCUGCAAGAACAGGUUCUCCCAUUCAAGUCAACACUAAACUGUUCACCAUACAUAGUUUUUACUUAAAAUAGAAAUUGUCUAGCCCAAGUAGGAAUUGAUGCAGAUGCUUCUUUUUUUCUUUUCUUCUACUAAUUUCCGAAUUCGAGGGCAUAAACUUCCUGUUAUAGUAAGAAAUUGUUAACUUCCAUGUUAAAUAUUUUGUAUUUCAGACAAGUUGCAGUAACAUUACCUUGGUACUGGAGCACCUCCCUCUUUUGAUUCAUUCUUUUCAUCAGGUAUACUCUAAUUCCUUCCAGCAAUCCAAGUAUAGGUUUCUCCCUUGUUUUUAAAAUUAAUUUUAUCCCAUUGAAUGACUCACAAAGAUUAUUCAAAAGUAUAUCACACUUUGUUGUUGUUCUAAAAUGCGACUUGCUCCAGAAUUUGGGUGGUUUAUCGUUGAACCAGUUUCUAGCUUCUUUAUCCUCCUUUUCCAACAUAUCCAUCUCAUAUCUGUACUUACUUACAUAAGUUGCCUUAGCAUCUUUCCAAACUCGUCUCCAAUGAUAAACCUUUAUGCACUUUCUUGAAAUUGUUGUACAAAUGUCUUACACAAUGCAUGUGCUCCACUUGAGGAACAAUCUCAUAAAUAGCUCCCUCCAAACCCUAUGAAAGAGAUAUAAUUAGUUUUUCAUAAUUGAAGGCAAUUAGAAUUUGAUAGUUGAAGUGAAGAAUCUUGCCUUUUGCUUGUCUGUAAUGAGACACAAGUUAUCAUGAUUUCUAAUUCGCAAGUCAUCCACUAGAAAAUUUAAAAACCACUUCCAGUUAUGCUUGUCUUCAACAUCAACUACAACAUAGGCUAUUGGGAACAUACCAUUAUCAGCAUCUAUCCCAAUUGCUAUCAAACGUUGACCACCAUAUGGUCCUUUAGGAAAGUAACCAUCCAUCCCAAUAAGUGGCCUACAACCUGCCUUCCAACCUUUUUUGCAGGGCUCAAGACAUAUGUAAAUUCUUUCAAAAAUAGGUUUGCCAUCCUCUUCAUUGGCUAUUGUUUCUAACAAUAUAGUUGAUCCUGGAUUCUUUUUCUUGAGUUUUGCACAGUAGUCCUCUAAUUUUGCAUAUUGUUCUUUGUAGUGACCUUCGAUCAUCUCUUUAGCUAUUCUCUUUGCUCUAUAGACUUGACUCACUGAGAUUUCAACAUUCAUCUCUUCAUGUAUUUUCUCCAUGAAAUCACCUACUGAUUCAUCUGGAUGUUUUCUUAAAUAAUGUAGGUAUGUUUUGGCAAUCAUCCUAGAUUUGACAUGUUUGUUGGCAUAAACAAACAAACAAACAAUCAUCAGAAUGUUUCCCAACCAAAGUUUUUACUCGAUGGUAGGGUCAUCUGGUGCCUUUCUAGAGGCAUAUAUACACCAUAGACAUCCAUCACAAUAUUUUGCAGAAAUUUUACCAGACUCAUUCUUUUUAAAGGAAAUGUUUCUAUUGUUUUUAACAGAGUAAGCUCUCAAAGCAGCUCUAAAUUCUGUUGCAUUGAUGAAUGUCAUUCCCAAUAUAAAUUCUGGAUUAGCCAUCUCUAUAUCUGCCCUAAAUGCAACAUUUUCAACCUGAUCAUCAUCACCAUUAAUAUUCCCCAUGUCAUCCGAUUCAUCAUUUUUAGAAGAGAUGUUAUCAUCCUCAGCUUCUGAACUUGAGUCCUCCAAUAAUAACCCUGCAAAAUUGGUACCCUUAGUUUCUUCCAUCAAUUUAUCUUUCCUUGUUUUCCUUCCCUUUUCUCCUCUUUGCUGCACCAACUUCACCACUCCCUGUUAGAUUUUUGUUUUCAUCCUCCUUUCGUUUAAUUCUUUCUUUCCCUUUCAGUUGCACAGUUGCCUUUUCUUUUCCAGUGCUAUCCCAUAUUCCAAGCCAUUCACUGUCUGAAUCCAUCUCCAAACAAUUCAACUCUUCUUCACUUUCAUUCAUAUUUUCAAAAUGCUCCAAUUCUUGGUCAAUAUCAUUAUUCUUAUCCCCGCUACAUUCUGCUCUUUCCAAUUCAAAGUCGUCUAAGUUAAUACUUAUCUUUGUAGAUUGGAAAUAUGAUUAUCUCCACCAGCUUUAAACGCACCCAAAUCUGUUUGCACCCAUUAUCCUCACAAACGUUAUUAGCAUUGGAGCUUACUUGACUCUGUAAUUUUAACACAUUAUCAUCUUGCGUAAUGUAUACUUCAGCAACUCUGUUAGUUGGAAGAGUGUUUACCAUUAGAUCACAAUCAACAUCAGUCAAGCAUUGAAUAUAACCAGCACCAGUGUCCGUCAUAGGUAGUUUGAAGUGCCAACCGAGAAUAUCAUUGUAGCCUAAUUUUGUUGUUCCAAUCAAGUUUAAGGUUUGCAAUGACCAUAUAUGUGGAUCACACUUGUCAAUAUAAACAACAGAACCUCCCAAAUAAAUCCUUUCUGGUACAUUAACAAAUUCACCUCCAUGGUGAAUCUUCAGUGUAAAAAGUCCAUCAUCCUUACCUGUUACAAUGCAACAUAUAAGACUAUUUUAGCAAACAAAUAAUUUCUAAAUAAAAUCAAACAACAAACAAAUUGAAGAACUACAUUUGAUACCAGAAUAUUCAAUAAAUUUUACAAUUAGGAUGUUUGUUUAACCAAAAUAACCUGCAAGGGAGAGGCUAUUCCAUGUGCAGCAGAUGCUUUUUUUGUAACAGGGAGCAGGAGUCAGUUGAGCAUUUGUUUCUGCAUUGCAAUUUCUCAAGACAAUGUUGGGAAUUGUUUCUGACCAUUAUGGGUGUCUCUGGUUAUACCACAGAAGAUCAACAAUCUGUUGGAAAUUUGGCAAGAUCAAAGAGUAAAAAGAAGUAUGAAAAGAUAUGGAGGACUAUUCCCAUUUGCAUAUUAUGGACUGUUUGGCUGGAAAGGAACAAGACAUGCUUUGAGGCGAAAAGACUGCAGAUUGAUAGAGUCAAAAAACAAAUGUAUCAAAAACUUUUUUUUUUGUGUUACAGCAGUACUCUAGAUAGGAUGGACCAAUAUUUGGACUUUUUGGAUCUUUUUUAGGGUUGGGGGGGGGGGGGGGGGGAUGUAGUAUGAUUGUUGAGAUGUGAUAGCUUUGUCUUGUACUUGGUCCUGUACCAUCUUGGUACCAUAUUAAUAAAACUUUUACUUAUCAAAAAGAAAAAAAAAAUACAAUUAGGAUAACUAGAUUGAAGGAGGGAAUGAAGAGGAGGAGUAUUCACAAGGGAGAAGCAGUUUAAAGCAGAGACAACUCCAAGUGAGGUUGAAUACAAGCACCAUCCCACAACUUUGCACUCCAAAACAGAGAAUAAAGGCAAAGACUCCAACAAAAAGAGGCAGGAGAAUAGUGAAAUCACAAUAAGAUAUAAUGACACAAGAAUUUUGUGCAACAAGUGCAGGCCAAACAAUAGAGAGAAAAGCCACUGUGGUUGCAUCACACCAAGAUUAUUAUAUUCAUCAUAAGUUGGGUCCUCUUCUUUACGAGAAUGGUAAGUUCAAAUCAGGUCCUCUGUAAUUUGGUUAAAAAAAUCCAAGAUUAUUAUCAUCAUCAUAAGUUGGGUCCUCUUCUGGUGGAGGAUUAAGAGAGGAACAAUGCAAAAUUCGAGUGGUUGAGCUUUCACAUAAGCUAAUUCCAAGAUUGAAGUUUUCUAUAGUUGAGCUUGAGAAAUGUAAACGAGCUUGAAAUUUACUGUCACAACUUGAAAUUCAAGUAUUGCAUCUUGACUCAGUUUAAGGAAUUUCAUUUGGUA